rnacentral:rRNA from 1 species
AGAGUUUGAUCCUGGCUCAGAGCGAACGCUGGCGGCACGCCUAACACAUGCAAGUCGAGCGAGAAAGUGACUUCGGUCGCGAGUAAAGCGGCGAACGGGUGAGUACAACGUGGAUAAUCUACCCUAAGGUCUGGGACAACCCCGAGAAAUCGGGGCUAAUACCGGAUAAGACCACAGUAUCCAAGGAUACAGCGGUAAAAGAUUUAUCGCCUUUGGAUGAGUCCACGCCCCAUCAGGUAGUUGGUAAGGUAAAGGCUUACCAAGCCUAAGACGGGUAGCCGGCCUUAGCGGGUGAACGGCCACAUGGGGACUGAGACACGGCCCUGACUCCUACGGGAGGCAGCAGUGGGGAAUAUUGGGCAAUGGGCGAAAGCCUGACCCAGCGAUGCCGCGUGAGGGAUGAAGGCCUUCGGGUUGUAAACCUCUGUCAGGAGGGACGAUGGGACUUUGUCUUGACGGUACCUCCAGAGGAAGCCCCGGCUAACUCCGUGCCAGCAGCCGCGGUAAUACGGAGGGGGCAAGCGUUGCUCGGAAUUACUGGGCGUAAAGGGUCCGCAGGCUGUCAGGCAAGUUGGUUGUGAAAUCCCAAGGCUUACCUUGGAAUUGC